CGCCUCCUGCAAACAACGACGUAUAGGAGGUCUUGCCUGCCCAGUGACAAUGUUAAACGGCCGCGGUAUUUUGACCGUGCGAAGGUAGCGCAAUCACUUGUCUUUUAAAUGAAGACCUGUAUGAAUGGUGAAACGAGGGCUUAACUGUCUCCCUUUUCUAGUCAAUGAAAUUGAUCUGCCCGUGCAGAAGCGGACAUAAAAAUACAAGACGAGAAGACCCUUUGGAGCUUAAGAUAUAAAGAUCAUCUAUGUCAAUGGGCCCCAACACAGCAACAAACUAAAUAGCAACUGAUCUUAAUCUUCGGUUGGGGCGACCACGGGAGAAAAUAAAGCUCCCACGCGGACUGGGGUAAACCCUAAAACCAAGAAAAACAUUUCUAAGAAACAGAACUUCUGACCAUUAAGAUCCGGCUACACGCCGACCAACGGACCAAGUUACCCUAGGGAUAACAGCGCAAUCCCCUUUCAGAGUCCAUAUCGACAAGGGGGUUUACGACCUCGAUGUUGGAUCAGGACAUCCUAAUGGUGCAGCCGCUAUUAAGGGUUCGUUUGUUCAACGAUUAAAGUCCU
rnacentral:rRNA from 1 species